GACGAACGCUGGCGGCGUGCCUAAUACAUGCAAGUAGAACGCACAGUUUAUACCGUAGCUUGCUACACCAUAGACUGUGAGUUGCGAACGGGUGAGUAACGCGUAGGUAACCUGCCUGGUAGCGGGGGAUAACUAUUGGAAACGAUAGCUAAUACCGCAUAAUAUUAAUUAUUGCAUGAUAAUUGAUUGAAAGAUGCAACUGCAUCACUACCAGAUGGACCUGCGUUGUAUUAGCUAGUAGGUGAGGUAACGGCUCACCUAGGCGACGAUACAUAGCCGACCUGAGAGGGUGAUCGGCCACACUGGGACUGAGACCCGGCCCAGACUCCUACGGGAGGCAGCAGUAGGGAAUCUUCGGCAAUGGACGGAAGUCUGACCGAGCAACGCCGCGUGAGUGAAGAAGGUUUUCGGAUCGUAAAGCUCUGUUGUAAGAGAAGAACGGGUGUGAGAGUGGAAAGUUCACACUGUGACGGUAUCUUACCAGAAAGGGACGGCUAACUACGUG
rnacentral:rRNA from 1 species